rnacentral:lncRNA from 1 species
AUUGCAAAAAAAAUCCAAAUCACCAAUAUAAAUACUAACUUUCAGCAACAAUUACCAAAGUUCUCCCAAAUCCUAUGAAAUCAAUUCUACACCUUUCAAAGGAACUUGAAGCUAACUCUUUAAUCCCAAAAUCCUGAUCUCCAAAUGCCCCUUUUUUUUAUCCUCUCCUCCCUUUUAAUUCCAUAAGGUCCCAUUUUCUCCUGCCUUGGACUCUGAAUUGGAACAGCUAACGGCGCUUCCCCUGAAUUCCUGCCUCUAAGAGGUCCUUUCUAUAGAAAAGAUGUUUCUCCCAAAAUAGCAUAGAGAACAGAACAACUUGAAAUGGAACCAAAGCCUCCAUAUUCCGGACC